UAUAGCCUAGCGGCGAACGGGUGAGUAACACGUGGGUAACCUACCUGGAAGACAGGGAUAACGAUUCGAAAGGGUCGCUAAUACCUGAUAAUAUCUAACAGUCGGAUGGCAGUUAGAAGAAAGGGGAAACCCGCUUUCAGAUGGGCCCGCGUCCCAUCAGCUAGUUGGUAAGGUAAAGGCUUACCAAGGCGACGACGGGUAGCCGGUCUGAGAGGAUGUACGGCCACACUGGGACUGAGAUACGGCCCAGACUCCUACGGGAGGCAGCAGUUGGGAAUCUUAGGCGAUGGGCGAAAGCCUGACCUAGCGACGCCGCGUGAGGGAAGAAGGCCUUCGGGUCGUAAACCUCUGUCAUGGGGGACGAAGG
rnacentral:rRNA from 1 species